rnacentral:rRNA from 1 species
CCUACGGGCGGCAGCAGUGAGGAAUAUUGGUCAAUGGACGAGAGUCUGAACCAGCCAAGUAGCGCGAAGGAUGACUGCCCUAUGGGUUGUAAACUUCUUUUAUAUGGGAAUAAAAUGUUCCACGUGUGGGAUUUUGUAUGUACCAUAUGAAUAAGGAUCGGCUAACUCCGUGCCAGCAGCCGCGGUAAUACGGAGGAUCCGAGCGUUAUCCGGAUUUAUUGGGUGUAAAGGGAGCGUAGGUGGAUUGUUAAGUCAGUUGUGAAAGUUUGCGGCUCAACCGUAAAAUUGCAGUUGAAACUGGCAGUCUUGAGUACAGUAGAGGUGGGCGGAAUUCGUGGUGUAGCGGUGAAAUGCUUAGAUAUCACGAAGAACUCCGAUUGCGAAGGCAGUUCACUGGACUGCAACUGACACUGAGGCUCGAAAGUGUGGGUAUCAAACAGGAUUAGAUACCCCUGUAGUC